rnacentral:misc_RNA from 1 species
CGUGUCCGGAUAUCUUGGACCGUUACGCCUUCGCAGGGCGGUUCUGACUUUCCUAUCGCUAUCGGUCGAUACCGGUAUCCGCUUUCCGAGCGGCUGCCAUCUCUCACUACGCCUGCGAAGAUCGAGGAAUUCCAUGAGCACCGGAACCGUCAAGUGGUUCAACGAGACCAAGGGCUACGGCUUCAUCCAGCCGGAUGACGGCGGCAAGGACGUGUUCGUUCACGUCUCGGCUGUCGAGCGCGCCGGCCUGCGUGGCCUGAACGAGGGCCAGAAGGUCUCCUACGAGCUGGAAACCGACCGCCGCAGCGGCAAGGAAUCCGCUGGCCAGCUCCAGACGGUCUGAUCGCCGCUCCGACGGCCAUUGUCGAAGCCGCUCUCGAGGGAGCGGCUUCUUC